rnacentral:rRNA from 1 species
GUAGGGAAUAUUGGGCAAUGGAUGCAAGUCUGACCCAGCCAUCCCGCGUGCCGGAAGAAGGCCCUCAGGGUUGUAAACGGCUUUUGACGGUGAAGAAUCGACAGGAUGCGUCCUGUUUUGACGGUAGCCGUUGAAUAAGCACCGGCUAACUCCGUGCCAGCAGCCGCGGUAAUACGGAGGGUGCGAGCGUUGUCCGGAUUUAUUGGGUUUAAAGGGUGCGUAGGCUGGAAGGUCAGUCAGCGGUGAAAAGCUGUCGCUUAACGAUAGUCUUGCCGCAGAUACUUCCUUUCUUGGAUGAGGAGGAGGCCACUGGAACGGAUGGUGUAGCGGUGAAAUGCAUAGAUAUCAUCCAGAACACCGAUUGCGAAGGUAGGUGGCUGUACCUUAAUCGACGCUGAUGCACGAAAGCAUGGGGAGCAAACAGGAUUAGAUACCCGGGUAGUCC